CCCAGUGCUGACUAAAUCGAGCCUCGCCGCGCUUCCGAGACCUGACAGAUCCGGCUACAAGAUGGUAACACUGGUGGCAUCUGCACCAUCUGUCACGCUGUAAAUCUUGCUCAUGUAAUAAGGGACAGAGGAGCUUCAUGCAAACAACUUAAAGCAAUUAAUAUUCAUCCAUGAUGGCUAAAUGACUUCAGGCUUUUCAUGUAACACUCCUUUCAGCUGCCACUAUGAAGAAAGAGAAAUCGUCAGCCAAAAAUCAAGAAAUCGGACUUUCAGCUGCAGUAUCUAAGCUUUGCAGAGUCCUAAGCAGAAAACAAGAAAAGCAGAAGCUUGCAGGAGGCAGCCAGCCGGU